UACAGAGACUGCAAGCGUUAUUCGGAUUCACUGGGCGUAAAGGGUGCGCAGGCGGUUGGGUGUGUCAGAUGUGAAAUCCCGAGGCUUAACCUCGGAACUGCGUCUGAAACUACUCGACUAGAGUACUGAAGAGGGAAACGGAAUUCACGGUGUAGCAGUGAAAUGCGUAGAUAUCGUGAGGAACACCAGAGGCGAAGGCGGUUUCCUGGACAGUUACUGACGCUCAGGCACGAAAGCAUGGGGAGCAAAAGGG
rnacentral:rRNA from 1 species